rnacentral:rRNA from 1 species
UUAGAUACCCUUGUAGUCCAUGCCGUAAACGAUGAGUGCUAGGUGUUGGAGGGUUUCCGCCCUUCAGUGCCGGAGCUAACGCAUUAAGCACUCCGCCUGGGGAGUACGACCGCAAGGUUGAAACUCAAAGGAAUUGACGGGGGCCCGCACAAGCG